rnacentral:rRNA from 1 species
CGGAGGGUGCAAGCGUUAUCCGGAUUCACUGGGUUUAAAGGGUGCGUAGGUGGGUCUGUAAGUCCGUGGUGAAAUCUCCGAGCUUAACUUGGAAACUGCCAUGGAUACUAUAGAUCUUGAAUACUGUGGAGGUCAGCGGAAUAUGUCAUGUAGCGGUGAAAUGCUCAGAUAUGACAUAGAACACCAAUUGCGAAGGCAGCUGGCUACACAAAUAUUGACACUGAUGCACGAAAGCGUGGGGAUCAAACAGGAUUAGAUACCCUGGUAGUCCACGCCCUAAACGAUGGAUACUCGACAUUUGCGAUAAACUGCAAGUGUCUGAGCGAAAGCAUUAAGUAUCCCACCUGGGAAGUACGAUCGCAAGAUUG